rnacentral:rRNA from 1 species
UACGGAGGGUGCAAGCGUUAUCCGGAUUUACUGGGUUUAAAGGGUGCGUAGGUGGGUAGGAAAGUCAGUGGUGAAAUCUUCGGGCUUAACCCGGAAACUGCCAUUGAUACUAUUUAUCUUGAAUACUCUGGAGGUAAGCGGAAUAUGUCAUGUAGCGGUGGAAAUGCUUAGAUAUGACAUAGAACACCAAUUGCGAAGGCAGCUUACUACAUAGUUAUUGACACUGAGGCACGAAAGCGUGGGGAUCAAACAG